AUUGAACGCUGGCGGCAGGCCUAACACAUGCAAGUCGAGCGGAUGAAGGGAGCUUGCUCCUGGUUUCAGCGGCGGACGGGUGUGUAAUGCCUAGGAAUCUGCCUGGUAGUGCGGGAUAACGUCCGGAAACGGGCGCUAAUACCGCAUACUUCCUGAGGGUGCAAGUGGGGGAUCUUCGGACCUCACGCUAUCAUAUGAGCCUAGGUCGGAUUAGCUAGUUGGUGGGGUAAAGGCCUACCUAGGCGACGAUCCGUAACUGGUCUGAGAGGAUGAUCGGUCACACUGGAAGUGGGACACGGUCAAGAGUCCUGAGAGAGGGAGCAGAGGGGAAUAGUAGGCAAUGGGCGAGAGCAUGAUCCAGCCAUGGCGAGUGUGUGAAGAAGGUCUUCGGAUCGUAAAGAACUUUUAGUUGGGAGGAAGGGCAGUAGGUUAAUACCUUGCUGUAUUGACGUUACCAACAGAAUAAGCACCGGCUAACUACGUG
rnacentral:rRNA from 1 species